rnacentral:lncRNA from 1 species
GAGUUGAUAAAUUGACAAAUGUGUUAGAUAUAUUGUUAUUGGAUAUACUGUUAUGUAUAAUCUAAAUAAUAUGUUCAUAUUGAAUAUUUUGUUAUAAUAUAAUCCAAAUAAUAUGUUCACAUACAAGCCCAAUAGGUGAAAACGUAUUAAAGCCCAUAUUAACUGGAGCCCAAACCCUACGCUGGAGGUAAUACUGUUGAGCGUUCCAAACUUGACGUCUCUUGGUGUAAUACUUUAAGCACCCGAAAAUCCAUCUAUUCUCUAAAACGAUAACCUCCAACAAAAUGUACAUUGUAG